UUAAGCGACUAAGCGUACACGGUGGAUGCCCUGGCAGUCAGAGGCGAUGAAGGACGUGCUAAUCUGCGAUAAGCGUCGGUAAGGUGAUAUGAACCGUUAUAACCGGCGAUUUCCGAAUGGGGAAACCCAGUGUGUUUCGACACACUAUCAUUAACUGAAUCCAUAGGUUAAUGAGGCGAACCGGGGGAACUGAAACAUCUAAGUACCCCGAGGAAAAGAAAUCAACCGAGAUUCCCCCAGUAGCGGCGAGCGAACGGGGAGCAGCCCAGAGCCUGAAUCAGUGUGUGUGUUAGUGGAAGCGUCUGGAAAGGCGCGCGAUACAGGGUGACAGCCCCGUACACAAAAAUGCACAUGCUGUGAGCUCGAUGAGUAGGGCGGGACACGUGGUAUCCUGUCUGAAUAUGGGGGGACCAUCCUCCAAGGCUAAAUACUCCUGACUGACCGAUAGUGAACCAGUACCGUGAGGGAAAGGCGAAAAGAACCCCGGCGAGGGGAGUGAAAAAGAACCUGAAACCGUGUACGUACAAGCAGUGGGAGCACGCUUAGGCGUGUGACUGCGUACCUUUUGUAUAAUGGGUCAGCGACUUAUAUUCUGUAGCAAGGUUAACCGAAUAGGGGAGCCGAAGGGAAACCGAGUCUUAACUGGGCGUUAAGUUGCAGGGUAUAGACCCGAAACCCGGUGAUCUAGCCAUGGGCAGGUUGAAGGUUGGGUAACACUAACUGGAGGACCGAACCGACUAAUGUUGAAAAAUUAGCGGAUGACUUGUGGCUGGGGGUGAAAGGCCAAUCAAACCGGGAGAUAGCUGGUUCUCCCCGAAAGCUAUUUAGGUAGCGCCUCGUGAAUUCAUCUCCGGGGGUAGAGCACUGUUUCGGCAAGGGGGUCAUCCCGACUUACCAACCCGAUGCAAACUGCGAAUACCGGAGAAUGUUAUCACGGGAGACACACGGCGGGUGCUAACGUCCGUCGUGAAGAGGGAAACAACCCAGACCGCCAGCUAAGGUCCCAAAGUCAUGGUUAAGUGGGAAACGAUGUGGGAAGGCCCAGACAGCCAGGAUGUUGGCUUAGAAGCAGCCAUCAUUUAAAGAAAGCGUAAUAGCUCACUGGUCGAGUCGGCCUGCGCGGAAGAUGUAACGGGGCUAAACCAUGCACCGAAGCUGCGGCAGCGACGCUUAUGCGUUGUUGGGUAGGGGAGCGUUCUGUAAGCCUGUGAAGGUGUACUGUGAGGUAUGCUGGAGGUAUCAGAAGUGCGAAUGCUGACAUAAGUAACGAUAAAGCGGGUGAAAAGCCCGCUCGCCGGAAGACCAAGGGUUCCUGUCCAACGUUAAUCGGGGCAGGGUGAGUCGACCCCUAAGGCGAGGCCGAAAGGCGUAGUCGAUGGGAAACAGGUUAAUAUUCCUGUACUUGGUGUUACUGCGAAGGGGGGACGGAGAAGGCUAUGUUGGCCGGGCGACGGUUGUCCCGGUUUAAGCGUGUAGGCUGGUUUUCCAGGCAAAUCCGGAAAAUCAAGGCUGAGGCGUGAUGACGAGGCACUACGGUGCUGAAGCAACAAAUGCCCUGCUUCCAGGAAAAGCCUCUAAGCAUCAGGUAACAUCAAAUCGUACCCCAAACCGACACAGGUGGUCAGGUAGAGAAUACCAAGGCGCUUGAGAGAACUCGGGUGAAGGAACUAGGCAAAAUGGUGCCGUAACUUCGGGAGAAGGCACGCUGAUAUGUAGGUGAAGUCCCUCGCGGAUGGAGCUGAAAUCAGUCGAAGAUACCAGCUGGCUGCAACUGUUUAUUAAAAACACAGCACUGUGCAAACACGAAAGUGGACGUAUACGGUGUGACGCCUGCCCGGUGCCGGAAGGUUAAUUGAUGGGGUCAGCGCAAGCGAAGCUCUUGAUCGAAGCCCCGGUAAACGGCGGCCGUAACUAUAACGGUCCUAAGGUAGCGAAAUUCCUUGUCGGGUAAGUUCCGACCUGCACGAAUGGCGUAAUGAUGGCCAGGCUGUCUCCACCCGAGACUCAGUGAAAUUGAACUCGCUGUGAAGAUGCAGUGUACCCGCGGCAAGACGGAAAGACCCCGUGAACCUUUACUAUAGCUUGACACUGAACAUUGAGCCUUGAUGUGUAGGAUAGGUGGGAGGCUUGGAAGUGUGGACGCCAGUCUGCAUGGAGCCGACCUUGAAAUACCACCCUUUAAUGUUUGAUGUUCUAACGUUGACCCGUAAUCCGGGUUGCGGACAGUGUCUGGUGGGUAGUUUGACUGGGGCGGUCUCCUCCUAAAGAGUAACGGAGGAGCACGAAGGUUGGCUAAUCCUGGUCGGACAUCAGGAGGUUAGUGCAAUGGCAUAAGCCAGCUUGACUGCGAGCGUGACGGCGCGAGCAGGUGCGAAAGCAGGUCAUAGUGAUCCGGUGGUUCUGAAUGGAAGGGCCAUCGCUCAACGGAUAAAAGGUACUCCGGGGAUAACAGGCUGAUACCGCCCAAGAGUUCAUAUCGACGGCGGUGUUUGGCACCUCGAUGUCGGCUCAUCACAUCCUGGGGCUGAAGUAGGUCCCAAGGGUAUGGCUGUUCGCCAUUUAAAGUGGUACGCGAGCUGGGUUUAGAACGUCGUGAGACAGUUCGGUCCCUAUCUGCCGUGGGCGCUGGAGAACUGAGGGGGGCUGCUCCUAGUACGAGAGGACCGGAGUGGACGCAUCACUGGUGUUCGGGUUGUCAUGCCAAUGGCACUGCCCGGUAGCUAAAUGCGGAAGAGAUAAGUGCUGAAAGCAUCUAAGCACGAAACUUGCCCCGAGAUGAGUUCUCCCUGACUCCUUGAGAGUCCUGAAGGAACGUUGAAGACGACGACGUUGAUAGGCCGGGUGUGUAAGCGCAGCGAUGCGUUGAGCUAACCGGUACUAAUGAACCGUGAGGCUUAACCUU
rnacentral:rRNA from 2 species